UUAGCUCUCUUUGCCUUUUGGCUUAGAUCAAGUGUAGUAUCUGUUCUUUUCAGUUUAAUCUCUGAAACGAGUCCACGGACUCAUUUAUUGAUUAUACUUAUUUUUGCAAUGCGGAAGACGGCCUCUGCGCUUGCGCAUGUCGCCUUCCACCGUGUCGCCAGUAUUGCACUGCCUCUGGCUGACGCGAACGCCU
rfam:Coniosporium apollinis CBS 100218 chromosome Tnknown supercont1.19, whole genome shotgun sequence.